AUGUUUUGGUUGUUACUGAGUGAUGGGAGUGCACCUGGAAAUGGGACCAGGCCACUCACUGGACAAGAGAGGCUGUCUUUACAGCAGGGUAGCAGAGGAUGGAGCACAGACAGGACAGCUGGCCUGAAUUAGGCAAGGAGUUAUUCCAUACCAUGUGACAUCAUGCAGAAGGUCAUAAAGCUGUGAGGAGUUGGCUUAGGGACAGGCUGCUUCUUAGAGAUUGUCUGAGUAUCAGUCGGCUGGUGAUGAGACACUCAGCUGCUAGAUGGAUGUUGGUCAGUCAGCAGUUGUAUUGCUAGCUGGGCAUCAGUUGUUAGGAGGUCUGGAUGCUUCUUCACAUUAACUGCAGAAACUUUUCCUGUAUGAAAAUGUCAGAAAGUGGAAGUGUAUGUAAAAUUAGAAACCGGGAUCAUAAAGCGGAAGUUAGGUUGCUGCAUUUUCAGAGACAGAUGAAGCAAAAUGUUCCACUGGGAGUAUUCAGCCCCAGUGCCUUGCUGUAUUACGGCAUAUGGAGUUGCAUCUCCAGGCGCUGACA
rnacentral:lncRNA from 1 species